GUGCGCGCUUCGGCAGCACAUAUACUAAAAUUGGAACGAUGCAGAGAAGAUUAGCAUGGCCCCCAUGCGAUGACAUGCAAAUUCGUGAAGCAUUCCUUAUUUUU